GGAUGUAAGGGCGAUCUGGCUGCGACAUCUGUCAUCCCACUGAUCACCAGGGUUGAUUCAGCUGCUCUGGCUGGCUAGGCGGGUGUCUCCUUCCUCCCUUGCUGCUCCACGUGCGCCCCUCCUGAAGCUGCAUGCUCAGUGGAAGAGGGAAGUGCAUUUGAGGAGAGAAGCCACAGUAAAUAUCUGCACAGGAUUAACAUAAUUCCCAGUGGAAUCAAAUGGCCCCUGUGGAG
rnacentral:sRNA from 1 species